rnacentral:rRNA from 1 species
UACGAAGGGGGCUAGCGUUGUUCGGAUUUACUGAGCGUAAAGCGCACGUAGGCGGAUCGUUAAGUCGGGGGUGAAAUCCUGGAGCUCAACUCCAGAACUGCCUUCGAUACUGGCGAUCUUGAGUCCGGAAGAGGUGAGUGGAACUCCUAGUGUAGAGGUGGAAUUCGUAGAUAUUAGGAAGAACACCAGUGGCGAAAGGCGGCUCACUGGUCCGGUACUGACGCUGAGGUGCGAAAGCGUGGGGAGCAAACAGGAUUGAGAAACCCUUAGUAG